rnacentral:lncRNA from 1 species
CCAGAUUGCCACUGCUAUGGCCUGGGGCCAGAAUUUUGCAAAAGUUCUGGGUUUGGCUUUUGUUGGAGGUCUGGGUUCGGAUUGAUUCGGGUUUGGGUUCGGUAGUUUAGGUGUGAAUGCAAAGCUAUGGUAUUCUACCAUAGCUAGAUUUUGCAAACUGAGUGGCGUUAGUUUCCCAGUAUGGUCCAGGUUAAGCCAAGCCUUGUCAUUUGGUUAGGGUUUAGGCUUGGCCUAGUAG